CCACCGCGCAUUCGGCUGGAUGAUGUCCCGCUUCACCGGCCCGCCCACUCCCGCGAUGAGCCGGAUGCAAACCUUCCACGUCAUCACUUUUGUCCCCGAUCGGCUAUCGAGUUACAUGCACAACCAUUAUUACGUACACCGUUCAUUCCCUCACAGCCACCUCUGAUCGUCCUCCUUUUCCUUCUCUUCCCUCUUUCGCCUCCCCGACUCCAUCUGCGCCUCAUGCUCCUCCUUCGUUCGCCGUCCUUCCCUUCGUUCCAGAUGUACCGCCAACAUCCUCUUCCUCUUCCCGUCAUUCCCCUCAACGUCCCCUGCCUGGCCCUCCCCCGUCAGACCAUUGUCCCCCCUGUCGAAGUACAGUGCCCACAGAUCAUCGACUUCUGAUUCUUGCACGAUCACGAAGCCUUCCCAGCCUUCGAAUAGGAUACGGUGCGAGAGCGGUGUGAGGGACCAUGGGCCCGGGGCGGCGGUUGCGGCGACCUGGGGGGGAGCGUGGUGGAUGGCGUGGGUGGUGGGGUUUAGGUAGAGGUGGUGGGAUUGCGGUGGGGGGUUUGGUUUUGGUUUUGCUUUUGGCUGUGGUGGUGGUGGUUCUGAAGGGGCAGCAGUGGGCGUUGGUUUUGGAAAAGGAGGUGGAGAUUGUUUUGGUCCUGCUUCCUUUGCCGGUUGUGAAGAUGAAGAAAAAGAUGACGACCGACUAGGAGAAGGUAUAGGUGGAGGUGAUGGGGAAGGGGAAGGCGAAGAAUUUCUUUCCGGAGGCUUGACAACAAAAACAUCCCCUUGAUGACCCACCCUCGCCCAGGCGAGAGUAUACGCCUCCACCGCCUGGAAAUGGCCGACUAGCGGGUGGACAAAAUGGGGUGGAAAUUGGGCUCUGGCGUGUUUGAUGUAUACCUGUUUUUUAUAAUCAGCUUAUGCAAAACUUGUCUCCACGCCGAGCACAAAUCAACCCACCUUGCCAUCCUCUCCCAGUACCACCUCUGCACCCUCAAAUUUCCCCUUAUACGCCUCCCCCGGAUCUCCCACCCCACCUCCUUCAAAAGUGACAAAAACCUCUAAAUCGAGAGACUUGUUGCCCGCCCGUCGAUUACCUUUGAUACCC
rnacentral:sRNA from 1 species